CAGUAGCCGCGGUAAAACGAAGGGUGCAAGCGUUACUCGGAAUUACUGGGCGUAAAGCGUGCGUAGGUGGUGGUUUAAGUCCGUUGUGAAAGCCCUGGGCUCAACCUGGGAAUUGCAGUGGAUACUGGGUCACUAGAGUGUGGUAGAGGAUAGUGGAAUUUCCGGUGUAGCAGUGAAAUGCGUAGAGAUCGGAAGGAACAUCUGUGGCGAAGGCGACUAUCUGGGCCAACACUGACACUGAGGCACGAAAGCGUGGGGAGCAAACAGGAUUAGAGACCCCUGUAGUCCCUGUCUCUUAUAC
rnacentral:rRNA from 1 species